AUCCCGACACGGGGAGGUAGUGACAAUAAAUACUGAUACAGGGCUCUUUUGGGUCUUGUAAUUGGAAUGAGUACAAUUUAAACCUCUUAACGAGGAACAAUUGGAGGGCAAGUCUGGUGCCAGCAGCCGCGGUAAUUCCAGCUCCAAUAGCGUAUAUUAAAGUUGUUGCAGUUAAAAAGCUCGUAGUUGAAUCUUUGGCCUGGCUGGCGGGUCCGCCUCACCGCGUGCACUUGUCCGGCCGGGCCUUCUCUUCUGGAGAACCGCAUGCCCUUCACUGGGCGUGUUGGGGACCAGGACUUUUACUUUGAAAAAAUUAGAGUGUUCAAAGCAGGCCUUUGCUCGAAUACGUUAGCAUGGAAUAAUAGAAUAGGACGUGCGGUCCUAUUUUGUUGGUUUCUAGGACCGCCGUAAUGAUUAAUAGGGACAGUCGGGGGCAUCAGUAUUCAAUUGUCAGAGGUGAAAUUCUUGGAUUUAUUGAAGACUAACUACUGCGAAAGCAUUUGCCAAGGAUGUUUUCAUUAAUCAGUGAACGAAAGUUAGGGGAUCGAAGACGAUCAGAUACCGUCGUAGUCUUAACCAUAAACUAUGCCGACUAGGGAUCGGGCGGUGUUAUCGAUUUGACCCGCUCGGCACCUUGCGAGAAAUC
rnacentral:rRNA from 1 species